UGCUUGGUGCUAAGACAAGGAAGUCUUGA
rnacentral:piRNA from 1 species